GCGUUGCUCGGAAUCACUGGGCGUAAAGGGUGCGUAGGCGGUUGUUUAAGUCUGUCGUGAAAUCCCCGGGCUCAACCUGGGAAUGGCGAUGGAUACUGGACAGCUAGAGUGUGUCAGAGGAUGGUGGAAUUCCUGGUGUAGCGGUGAAAUGCGCAGAUAUCAGGAGGAACACCGGUGGCGAAGGCGGGUCUCUGGGCCGAUACUGACGCUGGAGGCACGAAAGCGUGGGGAGCAAACAGG
rnacentral:rRNA from 1 species